UGCAUUGUUGUAAUGCUAACUAACCUAUAAUUAAUAACUAGUGCUCGCUAGUGCUAUGCUGUUCUGAUAAAAAAAAAAAAAAAGACCAUAUGCAUUGAUUUCAACAAUGCAACUCUAUUCUAUGUGUUUCUUUCAACUCAUGCAAAACUUGUCAAUAACGGCUAAUGUAAGCACAGAUUACUAGCAACAUGUCGACUGUCACUACAUGAACUCAAGUUAUGAGGGAGGCAAAUCAGGUUUAAACCUAAUCUAGAUGUCAGAAUGAAGAAGCCAUCACAAAGUAUGUUUAAUAUAGAGUUCUCACAAAAAAGAUUUAACCUUGCUAAUAUGUUGUAUGCUUGAUCUUGCAUUUGAUAAAUUUGUUACAUCGCUGAGCUAUUUUAGACUAAUCAGACAUUAUUGUUCAAUAGCAACUUCAUCAGCUUCUCCAGCACCGGAGCAGCUGGUCCAUCCAGUGGAUGGUAAGUAUAAGUUAUUUUUAGUAUAAUCAGUUAUAUAAAAUGAUUUGAUUUAAAUGUAUUUUAAUGUGUCAUACUGUUUGUUUAGCUGAAGUUUCCAGGAUGUUUGCAUCAUAUAACCGCAUGACAGGGACACCCAGAAGAAACCACACAAAGAAUACCAUCGCAUUAAUAUCAUACACACACACCUUCUGCUGUCUCAUUUGAAAAAGAGCGCUUACAUCGUUUAGGUUUGGGUGAAAAGCAUCUCACUUUUCGUGGAAACCAAGAAAGCCCAGAGGAAUUUUCUGAGUUUCUCCUGGCUGCAUUCCCCAAAUUGAGGGAUGCCGGUGGGUUUGAGCUCAUGCGGGUCACUGGGAAUACAAGGAGCCGUCAACUUAUGCUUCUGUCAUGCCCCAAUGCUGGUUAUACAGUGAGGCAUUUGAGGGAUUUGGCCCCUGUGAUAACCAGAACCAUUCUUUACAUUCAGCCCCUGCAGAGGAAUUUGAGCGUGGACAAUAUUAUGGAACCAAAUGCACAAGGAACCGAAUUAGGACCUGUGAUGCCUUGCAUUCACUGUGGGCACGGAUUUGCCUUCUCUGAGUUAAAACGCCACAGUGAAAGUUGUUCAAGUGAAUCACAAAGUGAGAGGAGAGUUGAAGGUGCAAGACAAAUUAGUUCUGACAGCGGGACAAGUGCCUUCAACUUACAAGAGUCUGUACAGCUAGCUCAGGAGACUGCAGCAGCAGGAUCCCUUAUUGA